rnacentral:rRNA from 1 species
UACGGGGGGGGGGCAAGCGUUGUUCGGAAUUACUGGGCGUAAAGGGCUCGUAGGCGGCCAACUAAGUCAGACGUGAAAAUCCCCUCGGCUUAACCGGGGGAACUGCGUCUGAUACUGGAUGGCUUGAAUCCGGGAGAGGGAUGCGGAAUUCCAGGUGUAGCGGUGAAAAUGCGUAGAUAUCUGGAGGAACACCGGUGGCGAAGGCGGCAUCCUGGACCGGCAUUGACGCUGAGGAGCGAAAAGCCAGGGGGAGCAAACGGG